CAGAAAAUAGUUUAAUAAAAAAAAUGUUAGUUUUGGGAACUGGCGAUGGAAGGUGGUUUUCUUUUCUGA
rnacentral:tRNA from 1 species